GACGGGACCCCCGCACAAGCGGUGGAUCAUGUUGUUUAAUUCGAUGAUACGCGAAGAACCUUACCAGGUCUUGACAUCCCCCGCGAUGCUUUAGAGAUAAAGCGGAGGUAUUCGGGGAGACAGGUGGUGCAUGGUUGUCGUCAGCUCGUGUCGUGAGAUGUUGGGUUAAGUCCCGCAACGAGCGCAACCCCUAUUGCUAGUUACCAUCAUUAAGUUGGGGACUCUAGCGAGACUGCCAGUGAUAAACUGGAGGAAGGUGGGGAUGACGUCAAAUCAUCAUGCCCCUUAUGACCUGGGCUACAAACGUGAUACAAUGGCUGGAACAAAGGGAUGCGAAGCAGUGAUGUGGAGCGAAACCCAUAAAAACAGUCUCAGUUCGGAUUGAAGUCUGCAACUCGACUUCAUAAAGUCGGAAUCGCUAGUAAUCGCGGAUCAGAACGCCGCGGUGAAUACGUUCUCGGGGUUU
rnacentral:rRNA from 1 species